rnacentral:lncRNA from 1 species
UUUUUGUUUUUUUUUUUUUUUUUUUUGCAAUAACAGAUGUUUGAGCAAUUUGAGAAAGCAAAUAGUGCAUGGAGCAUGGGUACCACAUCAGUGAACUGCAGUUCAGUUUAAGAAUGCAGCUGCAGAAACACACUCCUCAAUACAUCAGAUUCAAGUUUUUGGGGAUGAAAUGUGCCAUACAUGAGGUCCAAAACCCAGCUUUCUGGAACCAAGGACCUGCUUGCACCUGAGUGAGAUGCCCUUUCAAGCUGCUCUCCUGCAUAUUUUCCCUAUUAAAUCCCAGUAGAUUAUGGUUUAUAACAACAGUUAUGAGACAUGAGAUUGGGAUGCAGCUGGGACAUAUGCUUAGACACAGAAACUGAGAUUUAUUUCCAUGUAAGCAGCUACCCUGAUAAUUUGCAAGUACAUCUUUCCUCCAAGGACCUGAAAGAACUUCACAAAUAUUGUUGGAGGCCCAGAAUGUUCUUGCACUUAAGUAAACUCCUUCUUAGAGAGGUUAAGUGAUUUAUUUGAGGUUUCUCAGUAAAUCAGAGGUAGAGGUAGGAAGUGAAACAAGAUCAUGACUGCAAAUGACAUCCUUUAACCUUUGGAGGUGCUACUGUGUAUGAAGGCCUGACCCCACCAGCCUCACUCAGAGGAGCAGUGUCUCUGAAGUUAAUGGGAUGACUGGCGUGAGAAAAGGGCUGCAAUAUUUGCCUCUUUAGGCCUUUCUCUGUGAAGUGUUUAAUAUUUCCCCAGAGGUAUGUUUGGCUUCACCUCCUACGGAGUGUCUUAUAGCAACAACAACCACAGCAACAGAAAAGUCAGUCCCAUUUUCUUCAUUUAGUGCUUCACAUCAGGAUCCAAGGCGAGCACUCUCUCUGGGCAGGCGCUAAGCCACGGGGACCUGAAGAGAGUUGGUGUUUCUUGGAAAUGGGUUUUGACUUCUCUGCUUUACUCCUUCACAGGGAAAGAAGAGAUUUUGGGAUACAGUAAGGACCUGCAUGUUUCUCAGCUGGUAAAAAAACAUAGUUCAUAUUUCUUCUCAGCAAAAUUUUGGCGCUACCCCAAAUUCAGCAAUCACAAAGACUAAUAUGUAAGAAAGACUGCACUAAAAAUAUAAUGUAAAAAUAUAUCUUUAAUAGAAUGAGACCAGAAUUCCCAAAUUCUUUCUUUUUCCUCUGCAGAAAAAAAAAAA